CCUACGGGAGGCAGCAGUCGGGAAUAUUGCGCAAUGGAGGAAACUCUGACGCAGUGACGCCGCGUGCAGGAAGAAGGUUUUCGGAUUGUAAACUGCUUUAUACAGGGGAGAAAAAAGACAGUACCUGUAGAAUAAGCUCCGGCUAACUACGUGCCAACAGCCGCGGUACUUCGGAGGGAGCAAGCGUUAUCCGGAUUUACUGGGGGUAAAGGGAGCGUAGACGGCAGUGCAAGUCUGGAGGGAAAGGCGGGGGCUCAACCCCCGGACUGCUCUGGAAACUGUACGGCUGGAGUGCAGGAGAGGUAAGUGGAAUUCCUAGUGUAGCGGUGAAAUGCGUAGAUAUUAGGAGGAACACCAGUGGCGAAGGCGGCUUACUGGACUGUAACUGACGUUGAGGCUCGAAAGCGUGGGGAGCGAACAGGAUUAGAUACCCUUGUAGUC
rnacentral:rRNA from 1 species